CCUACGGGUGGCAGCAGUGAGGAAUAUUGGUCAAUGGGCGAGAGCCUGAACCAGCCAAGUCGCGUGAGGGAGUACUGCCCUAUGGGUUGUAAACCUCUUUUGUCGGGGAGCAAAAGCCGGACGUGUCCGGCUGUGAGAGUACCCGAAGAAAAAGCAUCGGCUAACUCCGUGCCAGCAGCCGCGGUAAUACGGAGGAUGCUAGCGUUAUCCGGAUUUAUUGGGUUUAAAGGGUGCGCAGGCGGAUUUUUAAGUCAGCGGUAAAAUCGUGGGGCUCAACCCCAUCCAGCCGUUGAAACUGGGGAUCUAGAGUGUGGGAGAGGUAUGCGGAAUGCGUGGUGUAGCGGUGAAAUGCAUAGAUAUCACGCAGAACCCCGAUUGCGAAGGCAGCAUACCGGUGCACAACUGACGCUCAGGCACGAAAGCGUGGGUAUCGAACAGGAUUAGAUACCCGAGUAGUC
rnacentral:rRNA from 1 species